rnacentral:rRNA from 1 species
UACGAAGGGGGCUAGCGUUGUUCGGAAUCACUGGGCGUAAAGCGCACGUAGGCGGAUCUUUAAGUCAGGGGUGAAAUCCCGAGGCUCAACCUCGGAACUGCCUUCGAUACUGCGGGUCUCGAGUCCGGGAGAGGUGAGUGGAAUUCCUAGUGUAGAGGUGAAAUUCGUAGAUAUUAGGAAGAACACCAGUGGCGAAGGCGGCUCACUGGCCCGGUACUGACGCUGAGGCGCGAAAGCGUGGGGAGCAAACAGGG